UUGAACGCUGGCGGCAUGCCUUACACAUGCAAGUCGAACGGCAGCACGGGAGCAAUCCUGGUGGCGAGUGGCGAACGGGUGAGUAAUAUAUCGGAACGUGCCCAGUCGUGGGGAUAACGUAGCGAAAGCUACGCUAAUACCGCAUACGAUCUAUGGAUGAAAGCGGGGGAUCGCAAGACCUCGCGCGAUUGGAGCGGCCGAUAUCAGAUUAGGUAGUUGGUGGGUAAAGGCUCACCAAGCCAACGAUCUGUAGCUGGUCUGAGAGGACGACCAGCCACACUGGAACUGAGACACGGUCCAGACUCCUACGGGAGGCAGCAGUGGGGAAUUUUGGACAAUGGACGCAAGUCUGAUCCAGCCAUUCCGCGUGCAGGAUGAAGGCCCUCGGGUUGUAAACUGCUUUUGUACGGAACGAAAAGGUUUCUAUUAAUACUAGGAGCUCAUGACGGUACCGUAAGAAUAAGCACCGGCUAACUACGUG
rnacentral:rRNA from 1 species